AAGGUAGCAUAAUAAAUUGUCUAUUAAUUGUAGAAUAGAAUGAAGGUCAAACGAAAAUUCAACUGUCUCAAAAAACACUUGUGAAAAUAAAAAGUGUGUGAAUAUACACCCACAAACGGCAAGACGAUAAGACCCUACGAACUUUACUGAAAAUUUACAUUUUCUACAUAAAUAAACACAAUAUAAUCAAAUAUAAAUAAUACGUUUCGUUGGGGCAACGACCUUAAAAAAGUAACUAAGGUUCCAAAAAUCAUAACUAAUAAAAAAAUAAUAAAUUAAAAUUAAAUAGAAAAGAUAAAACCCAUUAAACACAUCCAAAAAAUUAAUGCAAUAAAAUAAAAGUUCCGUAGGGAUAACAGCGUAAUAAUAUUUCAAGAAAAACAACCUUAAAUAAAGAUUGCGACCUCGAUGUUGAAUUGUUGUAUCCCGAAACUAAACACGUUCAAAGGUUGGACUAUCCUUCCAUUAAAACAACACGUGAUCUGAG
rnacentral:rRNA from 1 species